AUUUUCUUAGUAUAACAGUACAAGUGACUUCCAAUCACUUAGCCCCGGUUACAUUCCGGGAGAAAAUA
rnacentral:tRNA from 1 species